rnacentral:rRNA from 1 species
GAUGAACGCUAGCUACAGGCUUAACACAUGCAAGUCGAGGGGCAUCAGGAAGAAAGCUUGCUUUCUUUGCUGGCGACCGGCGCACGGGUGAGUAACACGUAUCCAACCUGCCCUUUACUCGGGGAUAGCCUUUCGAAAGAAAGAUUAAUACCCGAUAGUAUAAUGAUUCCGCAUGGUUUCAUUAUUAAAGGAUUCCGGUAAAGGAUGGGGAUGCGUUCCAUUAGGUUGUUGGUGAGGUAACGGCUCACCAAGCCUUCGAUGGAUAGGGGUUCUGAGAGGAAGGUCCCCCACAUUGGAACUGAGACACGGUCCAAACUCCUACGGGAGGCAGCAGUGAGGAAUAUUGGUCAAUGGGCGCUAGCCUGAACCAGCCAAGUAGCGUGAAGGAUGAAGGCUCUAUGGGUCGUAAACAUCUUUUAUAUGAGAAUAAAGUGCAGUAUGUAUACUGUUUUGUAUGUAUUAUAUGAAUAAGGAUCGGCUAACUCCGUGCCAGCAGCCGCGGUAAUACGGAGGAUCCGAGCGUUAUCCGGAUUUAUUGGGUUUAAAGGGAGCGUAGGUGGACUGGUAAGUCAGUUGUGAAAGUUUGCGGCUCAACCGUAAAAUUGCAGUUGAUACUGUCAGUCUUGAGUACAGUAGAGGUGGGCGGAAUUCGUGGUGAAGCGGUGAAAUGCUUAGAUAUCACGAAGAACCCCGAUUGCGAAGGCAGCACACUAAGCCGUAACUGACGUUCAUGCUCGAAAGUGUGGGUAUCAAACAGG